rnacentral:rRNA from 1 species
UACGAAGGGGGCUAGCGUUGUUCGGAUUUACUGGGCGUAAAGCGCACGUAGGCGGAUCUUUAAGUCAGAGGUGAAAUCCCAAGGCUCAACCUUGGAACUGCCUUUGAUACUGGGGAUCUUGAGUCCGGGAGAGGUGAGUGGAACUGCGAGUGUAGAGGUGAAAUGCGUAGAGAUCCGGAGGAACACCGGUGGCGAAGGCGGCGACCUGGUCCUUGACUGACGCUGAGGCGCGAAAGCGUGGGGAGCAAACAGG